rnacentral:tRNA from 1 species
UCCCUGGUGGUCCAGCGGCCAAGACUCUGCACUCCCAAUGUAGGGGCUUGGGUUGGAUCCCGUGUCAGGGAA